rnacentral:rRNA from 1 species
UGACGGUACCUCUUGAAUAAGCUCCGGCUAACUACGUGCCAGCAGCCGCGGUAAUACGUAGGGAGCAAGCGUUAUCCGGAUUUACUGGGUGUAAAGGGCGUGUAGGCGGGACUGCAAGUCAGAUGUGAAAGCACAGGGCUCAACUCUGUGUCUGCAUUUGAAACUGUAGUUCUUGAGUGCUGGAGAGGCUAACGGAAUUCCUAGUGUAGCGGUGAAAUGCGUAGAUAUUAGGAGGAACACCAGUGGCGAAGGCGGUUAGCUGGACAGUAACUGACGCUGAGGCGCGAAAGCGUGGGUAGCAAACAGGAUUAGGAUACCCUG